rnacentral:rRNA from 1 species
GAUGAACGCUGGCGGCAUGCUUAACGCAUGCAAGUCGAACGAGGUCCAUCCAGCUUGCUGGAGAAGACCUAGUGGCGAACGGGUGAGUAACACGUGAGGAACCCACCCCGGAGACCGGGAUAACCCUCCGAAAGGAGAGCUAAUAACGGAUGCCCUCAUCGGAUCGCAUGUUCUGAUGAGGAAAUGGAUUCCGCUCCGGGACGGCCUCGCGGCCUAUCAGCUUGUUGGUGGGGUAACGGCCUACCAAGGCGUCGACGGGUAGCUGGUCUGAGAGGACGGUCAGCCACACUGGGACUGAGACACGGCCCAGACUCCUACGGGAGGCAGCAGCGGGGAAUAUUGCGCAAUGGGCGAAAGCCUGACGCAGCAACGCCGCGUGAGGGAUGAAGGCUUUCGGGUUGUAAACCUCUUUCAGCAGGGACGAUUGUGACGGUACCUGCAGAAGAAGCCCCGGCCAACUACGUGC